rnacentral:rRNA from 1 species
UACGAAGGGGGCUAGCGUUACUCGGAUUGACUGGGCGUAAAGGGCGCGUAGGCGGAUGGUACAGUCAGAUGUGAAAUUCCUGGGCUCAACCUGGGGGCUGCAUUUGAUACGUGCUGUCUUGAGUUCGGAAGAGGGUCGUGGAAUUCCCAGUGUAGAGGUGAAAUUCGUAGAUAUUGGGAAGAACACCGGUGGCGAAGGCGGCGACCUGGUCCGAUACUGACGCUGAGGCGCGAAAGCGUGGGGAGCGAACAGG